CAAGUCGAGCGACGAAAGGUCCUUCGGGACCCUGAAAGCGGCGAACGGGUGAGUAACACGUGGGUAACCCACCCUCGGUUUCGGGAUAGCCCGGGGAAACCCGGAUUAAUACCGAAUAGCCUCUCCGGUCUUCGGGCUGGUGAGAAAAGGUAGCUUCGGCCUCCGACCGAGGACGGGCCCGCGGCCGAUUAGCUUGUUGGUGAGGUAACGGCUCACCAAGGCGACGAUCGGUAGCUGGUCUGAGAGGACGAUCAGCCACACUGGGACUGAGACACGGCCCAGACUCCUACGGGAGGCAGCAGUGGGGAAUCUUGCGCAAUGGGCGAAAGCCUGACGCAGCGACGCCGCGUGCGGGAAGAAGGCCUUAGGGUUGUAAACCGCUUUCAGGAGGGACGAAGCCACUCGGGUUAACAGCCCAGAGGGUGACGGUACCUCCAGAAGAAGCCCCGGCUAACUACGUGCCAGCAGCCGCGGUAAUACGUAGGGGGCAAGCGUUGUCCGGAUUUAUUGGGCGUAAAGAGCGUGUAGGCGGCUAGGUAGGUCCGAUGUGAAAACUGGAGGCUCAACCUCCAGCUGUCAUUGGAAACCCUCUGGCUAGAGUCCGGAAGAGGAGAGUGGAAUUCCUGGUGUAGCGGUGAAAUGCGCAGAUAUCAGGAAGAACACCUAUGGCGAAGGCAGCUCUCUGGGACGGUACUGACGCUGAGACGCGAAAGCGUGGGAGCGAACAGGAUUAGAUACCCUGGUAGUCCACGCCGUAAACGAUGGGCGCUAGGUGUGGGCGGUGUCGACUCCGUCCGUGC
rnacentral:rRNA from 1 species